rnacentral:rRNA from 1 species
UACGUAGGGUGCAAGCGUUGUCCGGAAUUAUUGGGCGUAAAGAGCUCGUAGGCGGUUUGUUGCGUCGGCUGUGAAAUCCCGAGGCUCAACCUCGGGUCUGCAGUCGAUACGAGCAAACUAGAGUGUUGCAGGGGAGACUGGAAUUCCUGGUGUAGCGGUGAAAUGCGCAGAUAUCAGGAGGAACACCGAUGGCGAAGGCAGUUCUCUGGGCCGUAACUGACGCUGAGGAGCGAAAGCGUGGGGAGCGAACAGG